rnacentral:rRNA from 1 species
AGCAGCCGCGGUAAUUCCAGCUCCAAUAGCGUAUAUUAAAGUUGUUGCAGUUAAAAAGCUCGUAGUUGAAUUUCGGGAUUAGUACGUUGGUCGUGCCUUCGGUACGUACUGGUGUUACUGGUUCCUACCUUCUGACGAACCAUCAUGUCAUUAAUUUGGUGUGGCGGGGAAUCAGGACUGUUACUUUGAAAAAAUUAGAGUGUUUAAAGCAGGCUCGCGCUUGAAUACAUUAGCAUGGAAUAAUGAAAUAGGACGUUGACCCUAUUUUGUUGGUUUCUAGGAUUGACGUAAUGAUUAAUAGGGAUAGUUGGGGGCAUUAGUAUUCAAUUGUCAGAGGUGAAAUUCUUGGAUUUAUUGAAGACUAACUACUGCGAAAGCAUUUGCCAAGGAUGUUUCAUUAAUCAAGAACGAAAGUUAGGGGAUCGAAGACGAUCAGAUACCGUCGUAGUC